AUUUUACAUUUCUAAAUACUUUCUCUAGAAAAUUUCAAGUUUCACAAUGAAGGUUUUUAUCCUUUGGGGUGUCAUUUGUGUGGUAAAAUGCCAAUUUGAAUCCGUCCCCUGGCCUACACCCGCACCGGCUCCGGGACCCUCACCUGCCCCGGGCCCUUGGCCUUCACCCGCACCAGCUCCCGGGCCUUCACCCGCACCGGCCCCCGCACCGGCCCCGGGCCAGGGACCCAUCUCCCCACCUGCUUGGGCUGCGACGUUCAGCCCAACUUGGCUCAGGUUCGGAUAAGGUCAACAUUUACAGCAAAUACAUACAUACAUAUGUACAAAUCUGAAUAAUUUUUUGGUGGGAACUGAUACUUGGGAAUACUAAUUUUGACGAAAAAUAAAAUUUGCAAUUAACCACUUCAA